rnacentral:rRNA from 1 species
CCUACGGGGGGCAGCAGUGGGGAAUAUUGGACAAUGGGCGAAAGCCUGAUCCAGCCAUGCCGUGUGUGUGAAGAAGGCCUUCGGGUUGUAAAGCACUUUCAGUGGGGAAGAAAGCCUUGGGGCUAAUACCCUCGAGGAAGGACAUCACCCACAGAAGAAGCACCGGCUAACUCCGUGCCAGCAGCCGCGGUAAUACGGAGGGUGCGAGCGUUAAUCGGAAUUACUGGGCGUAAAGCGCGCGUAGGCGGUCUGAUAAGCCGGUUGUGAAAGCCCCGGGCUCAACCUGGGAACGGCAUCCGGAACUGUCAGGCUAGAGUGCAGGAGAGGAAGGUAGAAUUCCCGGUGUAGCGGUGAAAUGCGUAGAGAUCGGGAGGAAUACCAGUGGCGAAGGCGGCCUUCUGGACUGACACUGACGCUGAGGUGCGAAAGCGUGGGUAGCAAACAGGAUUAGAUACCCCUGUAGUC